ACGGAAGGCAGCAGUAGGGAAUCUUCGGCAAUGGGGGCAACCCUGACCGAGCAACGCCGCGUGAGUGAAGAAGGUUUUCGGAUCGUAAAGCUCUGUUGUAAGAGAAGAACGUGUGUGAGAGUGGAAAGUUCACACAGUGACGGUCACUUACCAGAAAGGGAAGGCUAACUACGUGCCAGCAGCCGCGGUAAUACGUAAGUCCCGAGAGUUGUCCGGAUUUAUUGGGCGUAAAGCGAGCGCAGGCGGUUUAAUAAGUCUGAAGUUAAAGGCAGUGGCUUAACCAUUGUUCGCUUUGGAAAAUGUUAGCCUUGAUUGCAGAAGGGGAGAGUGGAAUUCCAUGUGUAGCGGUGAAAUGCGUAGAUAUAUGGAGGAACACCGGUGUCGAAAGCGGCUCUCUGGUCUGUAACUGACGCUGAGGCUCGAAAGCGUGGGGAGCAAACAGGAUUAGAUACCCUGGUA
rnacentral:rRNA from 1 species